rnacentral:rRNA from 1 species
AUUGAACGCUGGCGGCCUGCUUUACACCUGCAAGUCGGACGAGUGGCGAACGGGUGAGUAACGCAUCGGAACGUACCGAGUAAUGGGGGAUAACUGUCCGAAAGGACAGCUAAUACCGCAUAUUAUUCGAGCGGCCGAUGUCUGUUUAGCUGGUUGGCGGGGUAAAGGCCCACCAAGGCGACGAUCAGUAUCGGUUCUGCGAGGAUAGUCCGCCACACUGGGACUGAGACACGGCCCAGACUCCUACGGGAGGCAGUAGUGGGGAAUUUUGGAGAAUGGGCGCAAGCCUGAUUCAGCCAUGCCGCGUGUCUGAAGAAGGCCGUCGGGUUGUAAAGGACUUUUGUCAGGGAAGCGGUACCGGAAGAAUAAGCACCGGCUAACUACGUGCCAGCCGCCGCGGUAAUAC